AUGAACGCUGGCGGCGUGCCUAAUACCUGCAAGUCGAGCGAACAGACGAGGAGCUUGCUCCUCUGACGUUAGCGGCGGACGGGUGAGAAACACGUGGAUAACCUACCUAUAAGACUGGGAUAACUUCGGGAAACCGGAGCUAAUACCGGAUAAUAUAUUGAACCGCAUGGUUCAAUAGUGAAAGACGGUUUUGCUGUCACUUAUAGAUGGAUCCGCGCCGCAUUAGCUAGUUGGUAAGGUAACGGCUUACCAAGGCGACGAUGCGUAGCCGACCUGAGAGGGUGAUCGGCCACACUGGAACUGAGACACGGUCCAGACUCCUACGGGAGGCAGCAGUAGGGAAUCUUCCGCAAUGGGCGAAAGCUUGACGGAGCAACGCCGCGUGAGUGAUGAAGGUCUUCGGAUCGUAAAACUCUGUUAUUAGGGAAGAACAAAUGUGUAAGUAACUAUGCACGUCUUGACGGUACCUAAUCAGAAAGCCACGGCUAACUACGUG
rnacentral:rRNA from 1 species